rnacentral:snRNA from 1 species
AGCUUUGCACAGUGGCAGUAUUGUAGCCAAUGAGUUUUAUCCGAGGCACGAUUAUUGCUAAUUGAAGGGUGGGUUGGAGAGUCUACUAUCUUUUAUUAUUAUUAUGUAUAUAGAGUCAGUGGCCCCAACACCACUGAUUAAACACUAAAUGGCUAGAGAUAGA